rnacentral:rRNA from 1 species
UACGUAGGGACCAAGCGUUGUUCGGAUUUACUGGGCGUAAAGGGCGCGUAGGCGGCAAUUCAAGUCAUCUGUGAAAUCUCCGGGCUUAACCCGGAAAGGUCAGCCGAUACUGCGGGGCUAGAGUGCAGAAGGGGCAACUGGAAUUCUCGGUGUAGCGGUGAAAUGCGUAGAUAUCGAGAGGAACACCUGCGGCGAAGGCGGGUUGCUGGGCUGACACUGACGCUGAUGUGCGAAAGCUAGGGGAGCGAACGGG